rnacentral:rRNA from 1 species
GAUGAACGCUGGCGGCGUGCCUAAUACAUGCAAGUCGAGCGAACAGAUGAGGAGCUUGCUCCUCUGACGUUAGCGGCGGACGGGUGAGUAACCCGUGGAUAACCUACCUAUAAGACUGGGAUAACUUCGGGAAACCGGAGCUAAUUCCGGAUAAUAUAUUGAACCGCAUGGUUCAAUAGUGAAAGACGGUUUUGCUGUCACUUGUAGAUGGAUCCGCGCCGCAUUAGCUAGUUGGUAAGGUAAAGGCUUACCAAGGCAACGAUGCGUAGCCGACCUGAGAGGGUGAUCGGCCACACUGGAACUGAGACACGGUCCAGACUCCGACGGGAGGCAGCAGUAGGGAAUCUUCCGCAAUGGGCGAAAGCCUGACGGAGCAACGCCGCGUGAGUGAUGAAGGGCUUCGGAUCGUAAAACUCUGUUAUUAGGGAAGAACAAAUGUGUAAGUAACUAUGCACGUCUUGACGGUACCUAAGCAGAAAGCCACGGCUAACUACGU